rnacentral:rRNA from 1 species
CGAACGGAGAAUUGCUAGCUUGCUAAUAAUUCUCUAGUGGCGCACGGGUGAGUAACACGUGAGUACCUGCCCCCAAGAGUGGGAUAGCCCCGGGAAACUGGGAUUAAUACCGCAUAAAGCAAUAAAGCAGCAAUGCGCUUGGGGAUGGGCUCGCGUCCUAUUAGUUAGUUGGUGAGGUAACGGCUCACCAAGGCGAUGACGGGUAGCCGGUCUGAGAGGAUGUCCGGCCACACUGGAACUGAGACACGGUCCAGACACCUACGGGUGGCAGCAGUCGAGAAUCAUUCACAAUGGGGGAAACCCUGAUGGUGCGACGCCGCGUGGGGGAUAAGGUCUUCGGAUUGUAAACCCCUGUCAUGUGGGACAUUAAAAGAUAGUACCACAAGAGGAAGAGACGGCUAACUCUGUGCCAGCAGCCGCGGUAAUACAGAGGUCUCAAGCGUUGUUCGGAAUCACUGGGCGUAAAGCGUGCGUAGGCGGUUUCGUAAGUCGUGUGUGAAAGGCGGGGGCUCAACCCCCGGACUGCACAUGAUACUGCGAGACUAGAGUAAUGGAGGGGGAACCGGAAUUCUCGGUGUAGCAGUGAAAUGCGUAGAUAUCGAGAGGAACACUCGUGGCGAAGGCGGGUUCCUGGACAUUAACUGACGCUGAGGCACGAAGGCCAGGGGAGCGAAAGG